rnacentral:rRNA from 1 species
UGGGGAAUAUUGCACAAUGGGCGCAAGCCUGAUGCAGCCAUGCCGCGUGUGUGAAGAAGGCCUUCGGGUUGUAAAGCACUUUCAGCGGGGAGGAAGGCGUUAAGGUUAAUAACCUUGGCGAUUGACGUUACCCGCAGAAGAAGCACCGGCUAACUCCGUGCCAGCAGCCGCGGUAAUACGGAGGGUGCAAGCGUUAAUCGGAAUUACUGGGGGUAAAGCGCACGCAGGCGGUAUGUCAAGUCGGAUGUGAAAUCCCCGGGCUCAAACUGGGAACUGCCUUCGAAAAUGGCAGGCUAGAGUCUUGUAGAGGGGGGUAGAAUUCCCGGUGUAGCGGUGAAAUUCGUAGAGAUCUGGAGGAAUACCGGUGGCGAAGGCGGCCCCCCGGACAAAGACUGACGCUCAGGUGCGAAAGCGUGGGGAGCAAACAGG